CCAACGGCUCUUUUAAGAGCCACCCACUCAAAUUGACGAGCAUGU
rnacentral:ncRNA from 1 species